rnacentral:lncRNA from 1 species
AAAUUUCCCCAGUGGAGUAGCAGGUGCUUGGUACCUUAUUUCCUGGGACAUGCUAACAAGAGGACUGCCUUUUUCUUUUCUAUUCUGGUUCACUCAUUUAUUUCUAAAGUUCACCAUCCAUGGUUCAUAAAUAGCUCAACUUUGUGCAAUGAGAAUCCAGAGGUCACUUAACUCAGGGUACAUUUUGUAUGACUGUGAACAUCCAGCAACCUAACUAUUGAGCUAAGUUACAACUGAAGCAAAAGAAAUGGCCUCCCUUGAACUUUUGGAGGUCCCACAUUUACUAUAUCAUGUUAUUCAACAAUAUGGAAGCUGUUCUUGGAUAAGCAAAGUGGCACUUUUGACACGAAGCACAUAUUAGGAGAGUUUGUUUCAUAAGAAAUAAAAUUGCUAUGCACCCCAUUUUCUGACCAGAACCAGGCUGACAUAGCUUUCACAAAGCCUGGAUAUUUACUAUCGCUCUAUACUUUACAAAUCAAAGGAUAUUUCUUCUGACAACCUCCUGAAAAAUAUUGCUAUAAACUAGGCCUGCUGACAUCAUUGGAAGAUCUGGUUAUUUUGUGUGAUGUUUGUACAUGCAGUCACACAGACUCAGAAGGUAACAACAUGACUACUUUCUACCCUUCCAGAAGACUAACAUGCUGUAAAGGCUGCCCUUCUUUCAUGGCCUUUGCUACAUGACUUCCUUUACUCUACACUCAUCUUGGAUGAGGAGCACACAGAAGUACUUCUCUCACCUCAUACUUACCUCAUCUUUUAGAAGUAAUAACAUGCAGUGGAUCACGUGAUUAAAAGUUCCUGAGAACCCAACAAGAGCUCUGUCUUCCACCAUUGUAUACACUAGCAAGAUUUUGCUGAAAGAACCCAGAUAUAGCUGUCUCUUAUGAGACUAUGCCAGGGCCUAGCAAACACAGAAGUGGAUACUCACAGUCAGCUAUUGGAUGGAUCACAGGGCCCCCAAUGCAGGAGCUAGAGAAAUUACCCAAGGAGCUAAAGGGAACUGCAACCCUAUAGGUGGAACAACAUUAUGAACUAACCAGUACCCGGGAGCUCUUGACUCUAGCUGCAUAUGUAUCAAAAGAUGGCCUAGUCGACCAUCACUGCAAAGAGAGACCCAUUGGACUUACAAACUUUAUAUGCCCCAGUACAGGGGAACCCCAGGGCCAAAAAGUGGGAGUGGAUGGGUAGAAGAUUGGGGGGGUGGGUAUGGGGGACUUUUGGGAUAGCAUUGAAAAUGUAAACGAGGAAAAUACCUAAUUUAAAAAAAAAAAGAAAAUUAAAAAAAAAAGAGCUCUGUCUUCUUCCUUUCUGGCUUGCAUUGCAUACUCCCUUCUAACUAUCACCAUAAUUUCCAAAAUUCCUGAGAUGAGAACCCACAAGCCACUUCAUAGCUUAUUUAUUCAACGAACUACGUAACCCUGAAAAAUAUGAACUAUCAUUUCUUUUCUUAUAACAAACUAAAUCUUCAUCAACAGUUGUCUUGGGAAAAGAGGUAUCACCUAUAACUGACAUCAUUCUUUUUUGAUUGGCAAACACUUUGGAGGUGGACUCAUUUAGGAAAUUUAUAAAUGUGAAAGGGAACAGCUAGGCCUACUUGGCUGUACCUAGUCUUCUUUUUCCUCCAUAGGGGAACAAAAGCUACUUAAAAAUGGUCAGUUUUGCCAUCUUCUAAGACUGUACUACCUAUGCUGUGACCUCUGACCUGAAGGCCUGGAUUAGUCUGGCUGUCGUUGCUAUAUUUAUCAGCCAAGUCCUAAAGCUGAGCAAUUGUCUACACUCAAACAGAUGUUUGUUGUUUGUUCACUGUAUCUUUCUACUGUUUCUUACCAUUUCGAUAUCCAAAAAUUGAAAGUAGUACACUGAGGUUCUUCUCAGAAAUUCCCCAGAGCUGUAAUAAAAUAAGCAAAACAAUCAUCUUUCUCAUGAGUUAAAAUUACUUUUGCCAUAAAUAAAAGAUAAAGGAAAAUUAACAAGUAAUUCUGAAGAGAGAAAUUCUGUUUUGCCUUCAUGAUAAUCAAAAUCCUUAUAAAGUAUGAGGAUCUAAAAGUAACACAACCCAAUAAAUAAUGCAGACCAAUAAAGUUUGCAUCUAAUAUGAAGACACAGUUCUUUUGUGUUUCUUUUCUUUUUUUCUCAAAAUAUCUUUUUAAAACUUGAUUUGGCCUUAUAUAACCAUAACUUCAAAGUGCUAAACAAUCUACCGUCAGAACUACAUAAUAAAAUUAUUAAGCAGGAUUUCCUUAAAUGUUUGUACCACAGCCUGUUUUGCUUUGAGCCAGCAUGUGAAAGAUUUGUGAUUAGGUCUCAAAGCACAAAAAUACCAAUUAAUUAUGAUGAUUAGCUACAACUUCAUUAGUGGUCUAUAAAUAAACCAUGCAAAGAGUUGUUUAGUUGGGCUGCUGG